rnacentral:rRNA from 1 species
UACGUAGGGGGCAAGCGUUGUCCGGAUUUACUGGGCGUAAAGAGCGCGUAGGCGGAGAUCUAAGCGUGGCCUGAAAGCCCCCGGCUCAACCGGGGAGUGCGGCUGCGAACUGGGUUUCUUGAGGACGAUAGAGGAGAGUGGAAUUCCUGGUGUAGCGGUGAAAUGCGUAGAUAUCAGGAGGACCACCCGAGGCGAAGGCGGCUCUCUGGGUCGUACCUGACGCUGAGGCGCGAAAGCGUGGGGAGCGAACGGG